rnacentral:rRNA from 1 species
CCUACGGGUGGCAGCAGUGAGGAAUUUUGGGCAAUGCACGAGAGUCUGACCCAGCCAAGUCGCGUGAAGGAUGACUGCCCUAUGGGUUGUAAACUUCUUUUAUAUGGGAAUAAAUUGUUCCACGUGUGGGAUUUUGUAUGUACCAUAUGAAUAAGGAUCGGCUAACUCCGUGCCAGCAGCCGCGGUAAUACGGAGGAUCCGAGCGUUAUCCGGAUUUAUUGGGUUUAAAGGGAGCGUAGGUGGAUUGGUAAGUCAGUAGUGAAAGUUUGGGGCUCAACCGUAAUAUUGCAGUUGAAACUAGCAGUCUUGAGUACAGUAGAGGAGGGCGGAAUUCGUGGUGUAGCGGUGAAAUGCUUAGAUAUCACGAAGAACUCCGAUUGCGAAGGCAGCUCACUGGACGGCAACUGACACUGAGGCGCGAAAGUGUGGGUAGCAAACAGGAUUAGAUACCCUAGUAGUC